rnacentral:rRNA from 1 species
GACGAACGCUGGCGGCGUGCUUAACACAUGCAAGUCGAACGGAAAGGCCCUGCUUUUGUGGGGUGCUCGAGUGGCGAACGGGUGAGUAACACGUGAGUAACCUGCCCUUGACUUUGGGAUAACUUCAGGAAACUGGGGCUAAUACCGGAUAGGAGCUCCUGCUGCAUGGUGGGGGUUGGAAAGUUUCGGCGGUUGGGGAUGGACUCGCGGCUUAUCAGCUUGUUGGUGGGGUAGUGGCUUACCAAGGCUUUGACGGGUAGCCGGCCUGAGAGGGGGACCGGCCACAUUGGGACUGAGAUACGGCCCAGACUCCUACGGGAGGCAGCAGUGGGGAAUAUUGCACAAUGGGCGGAAGCCUGAUGCAGCAACGCCGCGUGCGGGAUGACGGCCUUCGGGUUGUAAACCGCUUUCGCCUGUGACGAAGCGUGAGUGACGGUAAUGGGUAAGGAAGCACCGGCUAACUACGUG